rnacentral:lncRNA from 1 species
CAGUGAAAGGGUCCUCCCUCAUAGUGACGCAUGUCAUAGACUCAGAUUUAUACAAACAAAUGCUGAGCAAACCAUGAAGAGUCUCUGGUAUUUUCAACAAUAUCAUCACAGAGGAACUGUAUUGAUUUCCUUGAACUUUUCAAAUGUAGAGGAGCCUUUAGAAGGAAGCCUUGAGCAUGAGGACAGACCCCCCUCAUCCAACCACCACCUGACUCUGUGUGAACCUGGAACUGUUAGAAUGUCUGUGCUGUGAUAAAAGGUCAUCUCCCUACAAUGUUAUGAUACAGACCUCAAACCUACAAACAUGAGGAACUUCUGCCUCCAGGUUAACUGCUUACCCACUGUACAAGACACGUUACACACAGUCCAGGAGGCGGAGCUUCUGAGAUAUCUAGAAACAGCUUAGAGGCAAAAUGACAAAAUAAAGCAGCAACAACAAAUAAAACCAAUCUUCUCGAACUGGC